CAUUUUAUUAACCCUAGAAACGUGUGGUAUGCAAAAAACAAAUUAAUUCGAACGAAAACUAAAUUCGUUCUUCAUUCUUGCAAAUGGAUAGAGAGAGAGAGAGAGAGAAAAUGGAUGACCUGAGAGAGGUUGAAAUUUUGGGACGGAGAUUGUUAUGAGAGAAACUCAAUUUGGGGCAGUGCAGAAUAUUGGAGAUUCCCAGAGCCAUUGGGCGCGCCACUGCAACGAUGCAAUGUUAUCUCUCUCAAUUUAUGUCUGAAAUUUGAGAUAACGAAAUGGGGCGGUGAGUGAGGGUUUACAAAAUACAACUGGGGAACGUUUGUGGUGAGGGUGAGAGGAAGGGUUUACGAUUGCGGUGAGGGUGAGAGGAAAGGGUUUACAAAAUGGGACUGAGAAGGGAAGGAUUACGGUGAAGGUGAAAGGGUUUA
rnacentral:lncRNA from 1 species